GAUGAACGCUGGUGGCGUGCCUAACACAUGCAAGUAGAACGCUGAAGCUUGGUGCUUGCACCGAGCGGAUGAGUUGCGAACGGGUGAGUAACGCGUAGGUAACCUGCCUCUUAGCGGGGGAUAACUAUUGGAAACGAUAGCUAAUACCGCAUAAAAGUCGACAUUGCAUGAUGUUGACUUGAAAGGUGCAAUUGCAUCACUAAGAGAUGGACCUGCGUUGUAUUAGCUAGUUGGUGAGGUAACGGCUCACCAAGGCAACGAUACGUAGCCGACCUGAGAGGGUGAUCGGCCACACUGGGACUGAGACACGGCCCAGACUCCUACGGGAGGCAGCAGUAGGGAAUCUUCGGCAAUGGGGGCAACCCUGACCGAGCAACGCCGCGUGAGUGAAGAAGGUUUUCGGAUCGUAAAGCUCUGUUGUAAGAGAAGAACGAGUGUGAGAGUGGAAAGUUCACACUGUGACGGUAACUUACCAGAAAGG
rnacentral:rRNA from 1 species